rnacentral:rRNA from 1 species
GAUGAACGCUGGCGGCGUGCUUAACACAUGCAAGUCGAACGGAAAGGCCCAAGCUUGCUUGGGUACUCGAGUGGCGAACGGGUGAGUAACACGUGGGUGAUCUGCCCUGCACUUCGGGAUAAGCCUGGGAAACUGGGUCUAAUACUGGAUAGGACCACUUCUUGGAUGUUGUGGUGGAAAGUUUUUUCGGUGUGGGAUGAGCUCGCGGCCUAUCGGCUUGUUGGUGGGGUGAUGGCCUACCAAGGCGUCGGCGGGUAGCCGGCCUGAGAGGGUGUACGGCCGCAUUGGGACUGAGAUGCGGCCCAGGCUCCUACGGGAGGCAGCAGGGGGGAAUAUUGCACAAUGGGCGCAAGCCUGAUGCAGCGACGCCGCGUGGGGGAUGACGGCCUUCGGGUUGUAAACUCCUUUCGCUAGGGACGAAGCGUUUUGUGACGGUACCUGGAGAAGAAGCACCGGCUAACUACGUG